UUGGAUUACUUCUAUCGAAAAUCAUUCAGAACUUUUAUCCAGCACUUUCGAACAAGAAGCAAUGCUUGUUUUACUGUAUGAGCUUUCCCAAUUUUUUCCAUCAAACUGCCUGAUCUCCACAUGAGUUAGUGUUCCAGGAUCCACACAUUUGAAUGUAACUGCUAUGCCAUCUGGGCUUGACCUUGGAAUGUAGAAGGAGGUUAUGCCACAAACUUUGCAGAAAAUGUGCUUCGCUGUGUGCGUACCAAAGGUAUAAGUGGUAAGAAAUUGUUUAGAAUCUUCAAAAAGCUCAAACCUUUCCGAUGGGACGGUGAAGUGUGUAUUGCCUCUCAUGGAGCAGUCAGAACAGUUACACUGCCAGGCUACAACACUGGAUGGUGCUCUCACUUUCCAUCUCACCUUUUUGCAGUGACAUCCACCAUUGUGUACUACCAGGUCUGAAUCCAUUCUUCUAGAUCCUAUAUCUGCAAGAAUCAAACGGGAUAGUAGGUGCAACUAUAAUACUAUAAUACGCAAGCAAUAGGUCUUGGAGAAAUUAUUGCUUAAAUGAAUCAUACUCAAAACUUUAUGCAGUAAAAUUUAGGAUUAAAGUAUUGCAGAAGAAUCAAAAUGUUUAUCACUGAAUGCAAGCUCACAAUCUAGUGAUCCUGUGUAAAAGUUGGUGUCAGUUCAAAGAUAGGUGUAAAUAAAUGAGUAUUUUGCAGAGCUACUUAUUCAACAGAGACACCUAAAUUUGCAAGACUCGACAGGUUUAUGAAACUUUUAAGAAAGUUAUUAUUGGGAAGACAAAGCUAUAACCUCACAUUGGGAGUUCUGUAAUACAAAACCAUCUGAUUGAUCACAGCACUUGAUAAUUGAACAUUUUGGCGACAGAUGGUAAAUAGUGCAAGCUCAUGGCCUUUAUCGAGAACCAUUAAAUUUCAGGCCUUCUCAUUUCCCACGAGUAAUUUUGCAAAUUGUUUUGUAUGCUUGAACCUAGACAAGAAGAUCUUAUUGUGCAUCUUAUCGAUUUUGGAAUUCCAAUACAAUUGUAAGGCACAAGGCCGAAUCCAAUAGGUCAAGGAUUCAAAACAAUUCCAAUGACAGACUUUGUUAAGAUUUACGAUUUUAAUAACCAUAAUAUACCUUUGGUUCAAUAUACAAUGUUAAAUGAUGCCUCAAAUUGAUGCAGUUGUUCAAGUCUAUGACGUAAAAACUUUCCAAAUUAGACCCUCAAGAAAAGAGCAAAAACAGGGAGAAAAUAAUCUGACAGAAGAACCCCAUAUGGUCCCAAGAGGAAAAAGGAAGUUAAGAAAAUAGACAAUCACUAAAAGAACAGUGCAUAAACAUAAAACCCAAUUCCCAGAUUUGUAGAAAACACAUAUAUUGAGUACAUAAAUAACCAGCUUGAGAAGAAAUUUCAACUCUAUCACACAAAUAGCAGGACAGAAAAUAAUUAAAUCAUAGACAUAGGCAAAAUUGGAACCCAAUCAACAAGAUUAUGCAGGAGCAAGAACUACCCAAACAAGAUUCAUGAUUAUUGUUAUUCAGGGCAUAUACAUACAACUUUAAACAAAUUCAGAGAGAAAGAGAGACCUUGUAAAGAAGUGGGUAAGGCUGCAGGACAGUCGAAAUAAUGUAGCUGAAGAGACGAGCUUUAUCGUCUAAUGAUAGUGACAAAGCAAUCAUCUCUUUGUCAAAAUAUUACCCGUUCCGGUUCCAUCUUUUUAGAGGGGAAAAUUAUAGGGAGACACGCAUAUAAAAUGAAUUAUGCUACGUGUACCCAUUCAAUGUAUACAAUCCUUUAUACCUCCCUCACAUGUAGGGGGCCCACACAUAAUAAAUUGUUUGUGGGCCACACCUCAAUGUGAGGGGGUUGUCACCGAAUGUGUACACGGAAAGUGUACACAUAGACUUGUUCAUUUAAAAUUACAUUAUCAAGUCUUUUUAUUCAAAUAAUAGGAGUUAAGUAUAUUUUUAUUUAUAUAAAAAAAUAUAUUGUAAUUUUGUUAAAAUUAUAUUAUCGAAAAGUGAUUUCAAAAACCUAAUUUAUUUUAGGUCUCCAAAAACCCAAAUCAAUUGUCCUGACUCCUAGUCCCCCACACAUCGAUGGCAAUUGACGGUGAUGACCGAAGAUUGAGGACCUUGUCCUUUCCGCGUACCCCACACACACCUGUGGUGAAGAUCGCUGUGCACAUGGCAGAAGCAUAGAUGUCACAUCGACUUUUUCAUCGUCAUCGUUAAAAAUGGAUAAGGGUGUGGUGGCUACGGAGGCGACUGAAAGUCGCUCGAUCACUGGGAGAUUGGUGAUUUGAUGCUGCUCCCAUUAAUAAUUCUUGGUUUUUGCUCCCGUAGAAAAUUCUUCAUUAUUAUCCCAUUCAUUAAUUUCUCAUGAAUUCUAAUUGCUCUAUGUUUAACAAGGCAACUCAUCCAUGGAACUAUUGGGAAUUUUACGUUAAUUUCCUUUUAUUUCUAUUUAGCCGCAGAAUCUUUUAUUGUUCAAGAGAAUAUUAGCAAAAGAAUAAUAUAAUACAAAAAUUAAAUGGAUCAUUAAAGCCUUUCACUAUAUGAAAAUUAUUACAACCAUAUAGAAUUUUACUCACCAACUCAAUCUCCAAGUAUUACAAAGAAAAAUAGAAUCGAGCUUUAUCAUACCAAUUUUUCUACUCUUUGUAUGAAAACUCUCAAGAUACUAGGCUCAUAAUAUUUCUCUCUCGGAUCAACUCUCAGGACACACAUGCGAAAUAAUAAAUGCAUCCACUAUUGUAGGAUCAAUAAUCAAGUAGAAGAGUUCAAUUUCAACUCAAAAGAGGACUCCUUCAUGUGCAGUACUCCAAAAUCGACUGUAAAAUUGGAGAUCAAAUUCUACGAGGGUUCUGCUCUAAACUUUAAUUAGAAGUUUUCCAUACAAUGAUUACCUUUUAUUAUUUGGAAUAAAAGUCCUCCAACUUUUGACUUUUGAGGCAAUUACCUAAUAAUACCAAUUGUUGAGGUUGUCCCACAUCGAUUGUGGAUGGGGUUGAUAUUUAGUUUAUAAGUGUGGGGGAAAACUUUAUCUCUUGAGCUAGUUUUUAGGUGAGAGACCCAAUACCACCCAACACUAAUAUUAGAGCCCAGUUUAUCAACAAGUCUUCGGCCCAACGACUAUAAAGAUACAGAUUUGUAUGAGGGGGAGACGAUUUUGGUCUCCUACAGACCCCGUUGUGGAGGGGAGAUGUAUUUGGUCUUCCUCAAAGCCCGAUAUGUGAGAGGGAGUUUGUUGAUGUUGUCCCACAUCGAUUAUAGAUGGGGUUGGUAUUCAGUUUAUAAGUGUAAGGAAAAAUCUCACCUUUUGAGCUAGCUUUUGGGGUGAGAGAGGCUCAAUACUACCCAAUAGGAACAACUUGGAUCCUCAUUCGAGCGGGCAAGUUUAGACAACCAACAAUAAACGUUUUAUAUUUUGUUGAGAACAAAUCGAUAGGUUGAAUUACUUCUUCUUCUUCUUCUUUUUUAACGGUAAGAACUUAAACUUAAAUGAGUAAUUAGAGAAUAUGUAUGAAGAGCAAUUUCAUGACUGAUAAAUAAAUUGUGAUCAAUUAAUUUGAUAAAUUGUAAUAGAAAAUAACUUGUGACUAGUUAAUUUGAUAUAAUUUGUUAUUGUAAAAUAAGUUUUGACCUAUACAUUAUAAGAUUUGUGACUGAGAAACUUGUAACAAAUUAAUAUGACAAAUUGUGACCAAAUAUUUUGUAAUUUGUGACAAGAGAUAUGUUCCGCAACUAUGCAUGGCCAAAUUUGUGUUAAAAGUGACGUGUAACCACACAUCUAUUAACUACGAAUGUCUGUGGUAAAACACAUUAGUAUUUAAAGUUUGUGAUCAUUUAUAUGUUAAUUGUGAUUGAUUGUGACCAAGGCUAUCUUCAUUGCGACUGUCCUUGAUUAGAUAUAUCUUAACUGCAACUGUAUGUAACCAAAUUUCUGUUACCAGUGACAUGUGAAACAAGACAUUUGUUAACGGUGAAUGUUUGUGACUAACGCUAUUUACAUUUAAAGUUUGUGACCAUUUGUGAUCAAGUAUGUGUUAAAUGUAAUUGAUUAUGAGAAAAUUUGUCUUUAUUGUGACUGUUUGUAACCAAAUAUAAUAUAAUUGUGACUGUAUAUGACCAAGUCUAUGUUAACAGUGCCAACAGUAGAUGUUUGUGACAAAACAUAUAUACAUUUAAAAUUUGUGACCAUUUGUAUGUUAAUUGUGAUCCUCUAUAAUCAAGUCUGUGUUUAUAGUGAUCUGUUGUGACCAUUAAUGUAUGAAUGUGACAUGUUAUCAAAUUAUGACCUUUUAUAACAAAUAUAUUAUCAUAAAUUUGACUGAUAGAAAAUUAACCUAAGUUAAAUAGCAAUCAAGUGGUCACAUUUGUGAGUAUGGUUAAUUGUUGUGGCAUAUAAUUAAAAUUACUAAGCUCACGAUCAUAUGCUACACAUUUUCACUGUCAUCAAUAGGGAUGGUAUUUGGUGUGGUGCCCCGCCCCGUUUGCAACCUCCCAUUUUUUUUGUACAUUUUCAAAAUUUCGAGUUAUGCUAUUAUUAUAGAAUAAAAUUCAAAUUCAAACUUCAAAAUCCAAAGCAAAUAAUGCUCAAAAUAUAUUAGGUUAGGGUUGUGUUUUCUCCUUUUGUAAUUAUUUUUACUUUCUUUUUCUUCUUCUUCAUGCUCGUUCCGCCAACUAGUCAAGGCAAGUUUUUUUUGCUCCAUUUGGAGUGUGUCGGGUUUUUCUGCCAUCUCUAGUCAUCAACAUCACCCAAAGUUGAACACCAUCUCAAAUCCUUAACCAUCACCACAAACUCCUCCUCCACCUUAAUCCAUUGCUGUCAUAGCCACCACCACUUGUACCUCGAAUCCACAAUUACCACCAUAUCCCUUAAAAUCCACCACUACCUCAUAGUAAACACAAUGUCACCACUACCAUCACCUUCACCUUUAGGAAAACCACAAAUUCAUAGUUAGACUACAAUAAAACCAUCGAUGUUGAAAGUAAAUGCUAGCACAAAAAUAGAAGAAUAGAUGUGCAACAAGAAGUAAAUCAUCGUCGUGUCACAACGGUGUAAAAUUUGGACCUCAUGUUGGAAAAUAAUUGGUUGCAGAAACUUGCAGAACAAUAAAGUGUAGAAAUAAAACUUAUCGACUGAUAGUGUCUCGUGAUAGCAUGAUGUCCUAAAGUGAAAUUACCCUUCAAUAACUACUGCGACCUCUGUGGACAAUCACUCUUAGGAUAUAACGAUCACAAACCACUUGUGCAGCAGUCACGAAUAGUUUCUCAGAACUCUUGAGAAACUACCAUCGCCUUUACCUUUAGCAAAAACAAUGUCACCAUUACCAUUGCCUUCACCUUUAGCAAAACCACAAAUUCAUAGUUAGACUACAAUAAAACCAUCGAUGUAGAAAGUAAAGGCUAGCAAAAAAAUAGAAGAAUAGAUGCGCAACAAGAAGUAAAUCAUCAUGGUGUCACAACAGUGUAAAAUAUGGACCUCAUGUUGGAAAAUAAUUGGUAGCAGAAACUAGCAGAACAAGAAAGUGUAGAAAUAAAACUUAUUGAUUGAUAGAGUCUCGUGAUAACAUGAUGUCCUAAAGUGAAUUACCCGUCGAUAACUAAUGCGACAUCUGUGGACAAUCACUCUCAGGAUACAAUGAUUACAGACCACUUGUGUAGCAAUCAUGAAUAGUUUCUCAGAACUCUUGAGUGUACUUCAGAAAAAUAUGUAAAACUCGAGUAUAAAAUUUUAGAAUAUGAAAAGUUGUAAUUUUAUUUUUGUUGUGUUUUUUCCAAAACUAGAUGGGUGUAUAUAUAGGCAGAAUGGAUCUAACUGCCACCACCAUAAUCCAAAAAUAUUUACAACAUUUACUGGCUAGUAGGUAAUGGGUUGUUAAAAAAUGAUCAUAUUAUACUAGCUAGUUUAACCUAUUAAAUACUUUAAAAAAUGAUCAAAAUGAAAUAAAAAUUAAUUUAUUUUAAUCAUGGAAGUCCAAGGCCCCAAUCAUGCCACUCAAGAUUAGAACUUCCGUCCUUCCCUACUUGUAUUUGAUAGUAGUCAAUUUACCUUGCCAGUCAUGCCAUAAGUGAAUAUGACAACCAAAAAGAGAGAAAUCGUGCCAUCAGCUCGAGGGUCAUUUAAAAUAGUCAAGCUAUGGUUAGAGGUCAAACAUAAUACAACACUGAGCAAAUCUUAAUUCUAAAAUACCCUCCCUCGCCCAACCCUGGCCCCAAAAUACAAAAAAGGAAAAGAUUAAAAGGCAAACCAAGGACUUUUAUAUUAUUGCGUGAGAUGUGACCUGAACCCCUGACCACCCACACAAAUUCCACAUUUUUCACCACUUGGACACUUCAUCUAAACUAGUUAUUUCUUUCACAUAUUAUAUUUAUUGUAUAAAUAUCUAACAAUUCCCCACAUGAAAGAAAAUAAGAUAAAUAUAAAUAUUAUUCUAGAGUACAGUAGAAAUCACGCAGGCUUAGGUGUCUAUCGACUUGAACCUUGACUUUGUAGUACUAUUGAGUUUGCUAACUAUAGAGUGAACCAUGUCUUGAAUUCUACAAUUAUAGUUAUAAACUGAGACAAUAGAAAACACGCACAUGACUUCUAAAAUAAUCAUUAAGUUCUCACGAUUGUGUUCACUUCAAUCGUGAACUUUUUUCAUUUUUUUGACAUCCCUAGAGAUUUAGCCUCAAGUCUUUUAGAAAGUGAGCCCAUUUCCACACUCAAAUAGGUGCUUCUAUGAAGGGUGCAUUGUAUCCCCACUGAAUAUCAACUAUAGUAAAUAUUAAGUGUAUUAGCUCAUCCUCUAAUCAAUACAGUUUGUACUACGCAUCAUAGGGAAGGGUUUGGAAUAAAUCCAAUGUAGUACCCCCACAGAUCACUCCAAUAACUUUGUUGUCUCAUUGAACCCUUUCCAUUGGAUUUCCAAUCGCAAGGUUGGGUUUCCGUUAUAUGUGAUCUAGUUUGUAAUAGGCUUUAACCCCAUCCUCUACGAUGUUUUUUGAACUAACUCUUUAGCUAAUCCUUUGAUUAAUGGGUUGGCAAUAUUAUUAGACUUCACAUAGUCAAUAGCUAUAACCCCAUUCUUAAGCAGCUAACGCGCAAUAUUAUGACUUCUACAAAUGUCUAGACUUUCCAUUAUAGGAUGAAUUUUUGCUUUUAAAAUAGCUGCUUGAUUGUUACAAUGGACAUAAAUAGCUAGAAAUGGUUUAGACCACAAAGGAACAUCCAUAAGAAAAUUUUCCCAAUCAAAGACUUUUAUAUUAUUGCGUGGAAUGUGACCCCAAACCCCCGACUUCCCACGCAAAUUCCACAUUUUCCACCCACUUUGGGCACUUCUUUUAAACUAGUUAUAUCUUUCACAUGUUAUAUUUAUUGUAUAAGUAUCUAGCAUCUUAUCCCAUCCCCUCAACCAUCAUCGGCACCAACCAUUCAUCACUACCACCUAGAUCCACAACCAUCUUCACUUCAAAUCCACCAUCAUCUACACCCAAAUCAUCAUAGCUGCAACAAUUCCCUUUAAAAACUCAAAAUUCUUAAAAAAAAAUGCUUUUCUCGUAAGAAAAGGAAUACAUCACAAAUCUAACUGUUGUCCCAAUUCAAUAAAUUAAACCUUGGAGGUGACAACAUUUGUUGCGGUGCCACCACUGAGGACUUGAUCUGUGGGACAGCUGAGGAAGGAAUGAAAAUUCGAGUACGACGACGAGUUUGGUGGUCGACAGUGGUUUAGUUUUUCCUAAUAAUUGGAUUCAGAAUUGACGUUGGCAAUUUUUUUACAAAGUUCUGGACCAUGUGCAACCAGUACAUUGACUUUAGCAUUAGUUGCAAUAGAAAAUUGAGGUUGUGCAAUUGUGAUGGAAAUUGAGGAUUGGUGGUUCAUUAAGCCAUCUUCAACCCUGCACCAAAAUUUGUAUCAAAUCUUGUACCAAACAAAAAAUCAUCUCCAACCAUUAUACCAAAUAAACAAUAUUUAGUCAUUUUAUUCUCUCUCUUUUUUAUUCUAAAUAAUUUAUUUUACAAAUGCAUAAAUUACUAAAUAAAUAAUUACAUUAAAUUAAUGAAAGUAUUAAAUAAUAAUAAUAAUAAUAAUAACAAAAGUAAUAAAAAUAAUAAUAAGUACUAUUAUUUUAAUUAUAACUAUAAUAAUAAAAAUAAUGAAAAUUAUUGUAUUAAAAAAUAUAAAACACAAAUGACCCAAAUACCCUCCAUCAAUUACUUUGGCAAAUGGAAAAAAUGGCAAAUAUGACUUUAUACUGUUUGCACCAAAAUGGUUCAAAGUGAAUAGUGGUGGACCAAAAUGGUGCAAACUAACUUUGAUGCUAUGUUGGAGAGCUUUUACACCAAAGUUUGGUGAAAUUUGGUGUUUUGGUGCUGCCAUUGGAGAUGGCCUAGAAGGGGAUUGGAUGGAUUUCAAUGAACUUGAUUCAUUGAUUUUUCAAUUUAAAGAAACUACUAGAUUGGAGAACUUGUUCAAGAGAGAUCUGUCGGUUGGGGAAUUUGUGUAUUUAGAAAAAAAAUUAUUAUUAUUUUAUCACCUAUUUUCUGAAAAUUUUCUUAUAAGUUUGUUAAAUGUGAAAUUAAAAAAUUAAAGUAUUUUAGUUGUGUAUUUUUCCAUUUUCAGAAUACUAAUGUAUGUUAAUUGGAGUUCAUCAUCAUUGAGACCAAGGAAACAUUGUUCAUUUGAAAAUGUGAUAAACCAAUCAAAAGAUGAUUAAAAUUACUCAUCUAUUCAUCAGUGAUUUGACAAUCUUUGUGUAAUAAUAGGAUUGGGAAGUUCAAAAUAUGUGAGAGAGAUAGAGAGAGAAGAGAAGAGAGAUAAAUGAGAGGAAUAGUGGAUCGUUAUAUCAUCGGUGAUGUGACGGUCUGUGUAAUAAUGGAAUUGGACAGUUCAAAAUAUAUGAGAGAGAGAGAGAGAGAGAGGAGAGGAGAGAUAAAUGUGAGGGAUAGUGGAUUGUUACAUCACUGAUAAUUUAUUAUCAUAAUGAUAAAUAUCAUUACUCAUUUAGGUGUGAAUAUGGCAAGCUUAUCAUGCCAAUGGAUUGACAACCCGGGCUCAGCUCUAUCCAUUAGGUGAGCCGAGUUUGGCCUGAUGACCAAAGGGCUAGACUGCGUUCAGUCCUUGGGGCCUACCUAAUAUGAGUCGGGCUAGCUCAUGAGCCUUCUUAAAUUUUUAGACAAUUUGGGUACCCAAAAAAAAAAAAAAUUACAUAUGAUGAAAAGCAUAGAAAUUUAACAUAAUUAAAUAAGAAAAUAAGGGAAUUAAGGUAGGAUAGUAGGCUAGCUCACAAAUCCCACGGACUUCAUUUGUGGAAUUCCGGUCGAUUGAAAUCUGAGUUCAACUCAACCCAUGGGCUCAUGGUGUAGGAAGUGAAUUGCGCAUGGGAUGAGAUCUCACAAGCACUGGACCACUACCACCCCUACCUACUUUUUCUCGUGCUAUUCGACCUUUUUUUCUCGUUUAUCCAUCAUUAAAUCAGUGUUUGAUAAAUUGAAAAUAUGCUUUUACCUUAAAAAUGUUAUUCAUAACUUUAACCUUCUAAAAUAAUUCUAAAAUGAAAAAAAGAAGACUAAUAAGUCUAGAAUAGUCUAAAGAAGACAAUUCAAAUGAAAAAUUUUAAUGUGUAUAAUUUCAUCACCAAGGCACGAUUUCAAGAUUUUGCAAUUAAGGUCAAGAAAAAUUAAACGACUCCGUUUUAUUUUUCCCCAAAUUGGUGCAAUAUUUUGUAGUUUGCUCUUUAAGAACAUCUAAAACAUAUUCUUUAUUUAUAAAAAGUAUCUUAUAUAUUAUAGAGAGCAUCUAAAAAUUUAGAGAGUAAUAGAUUUUACACUCCAACAAUGCUCUAUAUUUUGGCUUUCAUUUUACUUUUAUCAAUAAAUAUUUAUUGAUUUCUUCUCAUAUUUUAUUUAACAUAAUUUUUUAUAUAUCAAUGAUCAAUCAAUUUAAAUAUGUUUUGAAUAGUUUAACAAGUAUUUAAAUAUGUGUCUUACUAAAAAUUUGGAGAGCCAAACCCAUUCUUGACUUGAGCAUCUCCAAACUCACUUGUUUUUCUGUUCAUUGUUACAAUUCUCCUAAAAAAAUAUAUAUAAAUUUUCAAUAUAAUUCAUGAAAUUUGUACCAUAAUGCGCACAAUUCAGGUCCUAUCUCUGCCUUAUAUGAGUGCCUAAACCAUAACUUAAUCGACCGUGAAGAAACUGGAAAUUUGUGGUCACUCGUUUUAAUCCAUUUGUGUCUAAAUAUCGAUAGAAGCAGAAUAUGCUAAAUCAUUUACUUUAGCUUCAACAGUUGAAAUCAUUUGAAAUCAUCACUGACUCAUUACAGUAGUUGCUGGAGAUACAAUUACAUCAAAUCCAUCAACCUGAAAACGGAGUGCAAAUUUUGAGUCUACAUUUUUCACGAACACAUUUUUGUUCUUACAACGAUUUCAUUCAGAACUUUUAUCCGGCACUUUCGAAUAGGAAGCAAUGCCUGAUUCAGCGUAUGAUCUCUCCCAAUUUUUUCCAUCAAACUGCCUGAUCUCAACAUGAGUUAUUGUUCCAGGAUCCACACAUCUGAAUGUAACUGCUAUGCCAUCCGGAUUUGACCUUGGAAUGUAGAAGGAGGUUAUGCCACAAACUUUGCAGAAAGUGUGCUUCGCUGUGUGUGUGCCGAAAGUAUAGGUGGUAAGGAAUUGUUUGGAAUCUUCGAAAAGCUC
rnacentral:lncRNA from 1 species